UACGUAGGUGGCAAGCGUUGUCCGGAUUUACUGGGCGUAAGAGCGCGCAGGCGGUCGUGCAAGUCGCGUGUGAAAGCCCCCGGCUCAACUGGGGAGGGUCACGCGAUACUGCUCGACUCGAAGGCAGGAGAGGGAAGUGGAAUUCCCGGUGUAGUGGUGAAAUGCGUAGAUAUCGGGAGGAACACCAGUGGCGAAGGCGACUUCCUGGCCUGUUCUUGACGCUGAGGCGCGAAAGCUAGGGUAGCAAACGGG
rnacentral:rRNA from 1 species